AAUACCGCAUAAUAGUAGAUGUUGCAUGACAUUUGCUUAAAAGGUGCAAUUGCAUCACUACCGGAUGGACCUGCGUUGUAUUAGCUAGUUGGUGAGGUAACGGCUCACCAAGGCGACGAUACAUAGCCGACCUGAGAGGGUGAUCGGCCACACUGGGACUGAGACACGGCCCAGACUCCUACGGGAGGCAGCAGUAGGGAAUCUUCGGCAAUGGACGGAAGUCUGACCGAGCAACGCCGCGUGAGUGAAGAAGGUUUUCGGAUCGUAAAGCUCUGUUGUAAGAGAAGAACGAGUGUGAGAGUGGAAAGUUCACACUGUGACGGUAUCUUACCAGAAAGGGACGGCUAACUACGUGCCAGCAGCCGCGGUAAUACGUAGGUCCCGAGCGUUGUCCGGAUUUAUUGGGCGUAAAGCGAGCGCAGGCGGUUAGAUAAGUCUGAAGUUAAAGGCUGUGGCUUAACCAUAGUACGCUUUGGAAACUGUUUAACUUGAGUGCAAGAGGGGAGAGUGGAAUUCCAUGUGUAGCGGUGAAAUGCGUAGAUAUAUGGAGGAACACCGGUGGCGAAAGCGGCUCUCUGGCUUGUAACUGACGCUGAGGCUCGA
rnacentral:rRNA from 1 species